rnacentral:rRNA from 1 species
GACGAACGCUGGCGGCGUGCUUAACACAUGCAAGUCGAACGGAAAGGCCCUGCUUUUGUGGGGUGCUCGAGUGGCGAACGGGUGAGUAACACGUGAGUAACCUGCCCUUGACUUUGGGAUAACUUCAGGAAACUGGGGCUAAUACCGGAUAGGAGCUCCUGCUGCAUGGUGGGGGUUGGAAAGUUUCGGCGGUUGGGGAUGGACUCGCGGCUUAUUAGCUUGUUGAUGGGGUAGUGGCUUACCAAGGCUUUGACGGGUAGCCGGCCUGAGAGGGUGACCGGCCACAUUGGGACUGAGAUACGGCCCAGACUCCUACGGGAGGCAGCAGUGGGGAAUAUUGCACAAUGGGCGGAAGCCUGAUGCAGCAACGCCGCGUGCGGGAUGACGGCCUUCGGGUUGUAAACCGCUUUCGCCUGUGACGAAGCGUGAGUGACGGUAAUGGGUAAAGAAGCACCGGCUAACUACGUG